GUUACCUACUCUACAACACUGCCAUACCUCCCAACAUUGGGAAUUGUGAAAGUGGCAGUAUUAGCAGGAAUCUAUAUGGGCAAAAAAUCCCAUGAACUGAUGUAAUUAUAUGCAGGCAUACCCCGCUUUAUAUACACUUACUUUACAUACACUCGCGAGUACAGACAUACCCGUGAGUGUACUUAAAGGUGCCUGGCGAGUACAGACAUUCCUGCGCCUCUUCUGUUUGCGAGUGAACAGUACAUGGAAGGUUCUAUUCUCGCCUGGAGCAGCUCAGUUCAG